GGGUUGUUUAACUCACUGCCCAACUCUCGUGGUUGUGGCUUGUCGGAUGACAUUGAGAUACUUGCGAUCAGGCAACUGAUUGUAGGUGACUCGAUCUCGUUCUAGUACCCGAAGCAUCACAAGUCGAGACCCGACGGUUCCUAACUGUCGACUCGUAAUGUGACGCGCUACUCUUUAUCAGAGAGAGCUGCCAAAUGGCGUCCAACUUGACUUCUAUGGUGUCCGAGUGAACAUCAAGACGUGUAUCAUAACGUGUCUCGAUAAGAUCUAGGGCAUUCGUCUAACCGGCUCGUCGCUCUGUGCUGAAUAAUGAGGUUCGUUUGUCGAAGGAUCUUCGGAUUCUAAAACAAAACGUUGCGUGUCUUGCUAUUAUCAACCUGAACUCAGUCGUGAUUACCCGCUGAACUUAAGCAUAUCAUUUAGCGGAGGAAAAGAAACUAAAAAGGAUUCCCUUAGUAACGGCGAGUGAAACGGGAUGAGCCCAGCGCCGAAUCGAUCAGCCUAUGGUUGCUUCGAAAUGUGGCGUAUAGGUGUAGUCUUCCAGCAGUGUCGUGAGUCCGAAGUCCUUACGAUUGAGGCCAUAGACCAGAGAGGGUGCGAGUCCCGUCCUGGAUUGCGAUGCUGUUGGUUCGAUUGCUCCUUGGAGUCGGGUUGCUUGAAAGUGCAGCCUAAAGUGGGUGAUAAACUUCAUCUAAGGCUAAAUAUUGACUCGAUUGCGAUAGCGAACAAGUACCGUGAGGGAAAGUUGCAAAGGACUUUGAAGAGAGAGUUCAAGAGAACGUGAAAUCGCUGGAGUGGAACCGGAGACAGUUGAUGUUGCUUGGAGACAAGUUUGGUGGCUGGUCGCUUAGUUGUGAUCGUCGCCGGAUGUCGUUUCCUAUGCUACGCCGACGGCGUUGGUCGCUCGUUCUGGCCCGACAGUGUUGCCCAGCUCGCAAGAGUCGGUGUCUUGUUGUCGGUCGUUGGUUCGUGGUGGCUAGCGUUUAGUUACGCUAGUGUGUGUGACGUCGGUGUGAAAGUCGACGACGUUUCCGACCCGUCUUGAAACACGGAUUGCGGAGUGCUUGUCUACUGCGAGUCAAAGGGUGUUAAAACCUUGCGGCGAAAUGAAAGUGAAGGUCAGUCUUGAAUUGGCCGACGUGGGAUCGGUGCUCCUCGGAGUGCUGCGCACCACGGCCCUGUGCGUGUCACUUGUGACUGUGCAGAGGUUGAGCAGUUGGCAAACGACCCGAAAGAUGGUGAACUAUGCCUGAGCAGGAUGAAGCCAGAGGAAACUCUGGUGGAAGUCCGUAUCGGUUCUGACGUGCAAAUCGAUCGAUAGACUUGGGUAUAGGGGCGAAAGACUAAUCGAACCAUCUAGUAGCUGGUUCCUUCCGAAGUUUCCCUCAGGAUAGCUGGAUCUCCGGCAGUUAUAUUCGGUAAAGCUAAUGAUUAGAGGCCUUGGGGACGUAAUGUCCUCAACCUAUUCUCAAACUUUCAAUGGAUAUGAAGUUGCAGUUUCUUUAGUGAACUGUCAACGUGAAUGCGAGGUCCAAGUGGGCCAUUUUUGGUAAGCAGAACUGGCGCUGUGGGAUGAACCAAACGUGGAGUUAAGGUGCCUAACUUCUCGCUCAUGAGACCCCAUAAAAGGUGUUGGUUGAUAUUGACAGCAGGACGGUGGCCAUGGAAGUCGGUAUCCGCUAAGGAGUGUGUAACAACUCACCUGCCGAAUCAACUAGCCCUGAAAAUGGAUGGCGCUUAAGCGAGAGACCUAUACUCCGCCGUUGCGGCAUGUGCGUUGUCUAGCGCCAGGCCGUAACGAGUAGGAAGGUCGUGGCGGUUGCUUUGAAGGCUAUGAGCGUGGGCUCGGCUGGAGCUUCCGUCAGUGCAGAUCGUAAUGGUAGUAGCAAAUAUUCAAGUUCGAUCCUUGAAGACUGAAGUGGAGAAGGGUUCCACGUGAACAGUAGUUGGAUGUGGGUCAGUCGAUCCUAAGGUACUGGCGAACGCCUUGUAUCAUCGGUGGCGAAAAGCUUGCUUUUGGUCCCCGUUUGUCGAAAGGGAAUAGGGUUAAUAUUCCCUAACUGAGAUGCAAAGAUUGUGUUCUUCGGAGCACAAGCGCGGUAACGCAUUCGAACUUGGUUAGUCGCUCAAAGACCGAGCUAGAGUUUUCUUCUCUAGUUAAGGAACGGACUCCCUGGAAUUGGUUCAGCCAGAGAUGGGGACGUUGUUUCCGAAAAGCACCGCGGUUUCUGUGGUGUCUCGUGCUCUUUGAACGGCCCUUAAAACACCAAGGGAGGCUAUUAAUUUGCACUCAAUCGUACCG
rnacentral:rRNA from 1 species